GUUGCCCACAAGCUUUGGAGGCCCCUGGACCAUUUCAGGAGGGGAUUAGUUGCUGAAUGCCUACAUCGUGCGGGAUCCACAAAACACCGGAGCUGUAUCAGACAAGAAUGCAGCUCAGUGUUCCAGACUCUAGUCCAGACAGUGAACAAUCGUGAAAACUUCAUUUGAUGAUAAAACAAGAGAGAAAUGUGAAGCAGGCUACAGUGAAGAACGGCAGCAGAUGAGGCUGUAUGUGGAAUGGCUGAGAGGGCCCACCAUCAGCAGGCCUUGCACUUAUCUCCAUAUCCCCCACCUCUCCUGCACCACCGGCAUGAUGACAAGUGCUUCUGUGAGGGUGAUUAUUCAUGUGUUUCUGGAUGGAUGUGCAGACUUCGGAGAUGUGCUACCAGAUAUGAUGUUCUCCUUCUUGCCGCCUCAGCUAGAGACCAUGCUGGCUGCCUGCCCAUCACUUCUCCCUCGGCCCAACAAGCAAAUAGCUUCUCAGCUAUGGCCCUGGCUUCUGAAGGUCGAUGUGGCUGAGGAAAAGGUACAGAGGCCCGCUCUCUCCAAGCGCUGCUUUCUGGACCAUGGAAGUGCAGAAGUGCAAGAGGCCUCAUGAGUCUCCUGGCCCAUGAAAGAAACUCCUAUCAAUUUCCAUUCCCCACUCCCUUGUCUAUCUCAUCCCCUGGUGUAAGAUUUGCUAGUUUAAAAUGAAAAAGGAAUAAAGCAUCCCCAC
rnacentral:lncRNA from 1 species